GAUGAACGCUGGCGGCGUGCCUAAUACAUGCAAGUCGAGCGAACGGACGAGAAGCUUGCUUCUCUGAUGUUAGCGGCGGAUGGGUGAGUAACACGUGGAUAACCUACCUAUAAGACUGGGAUAACUUCGGGAAACCGGAGCUAAUACCGGAUAAUAUUUUGAACCGCAUGGUUCAAAAGUGAAAGACGGUCUUGCUGUCACUUAUAGCUGGAUCCGCGCUGCAUUAGCUAGUUGGUAAGGUAACGGCUUACCAAGGCAACGAUGCAUAGCCGACCUGAGAGGGUGAUCGGCCACACUGGAACUGAGACACGGUCCAGACUCCUACGGGAGGCAGCAGUAGGGAAUCUUCCGCAAUGGGCGAAAGCCUGACGGAGCAACGCCGCGUGAGUGAUGAAGGUCUUCGGAUCGUAAAACUCUGUUAUUAGGGAAGAACAUAUGUGUAAGUAACUGUGCACAUCUUGACGGUACCUAAUCAGAAAGCCACGGCUAACUACGUG
rnacentral:rRNA from 1 species